rnacentral:rRNA from 1 species
UACGUAGGGUGCAAGCGUUUAAUCGGAAUUACUGGGCGUAAAGCGUGCGCAGGCGGUUAUGUAAGACAGAUGUGAAAUGCCCGGGCUUAACCUGGGAACUGCAUUUGUGACUGCAUGGCUAGAAUCUGGCAGAGGGGGGUAGAAUUCCACGUGUAGCAGUGAAAUGCGUAGAUAUGUGGAGGAAUACCGAUGGCGAAGGCAGCCCCCUGGGCUAAGAUUGACGCUCAUGCACGAAAGCGUGGGGAGCAAACAGG